CCUACGGGAGGCAGCAGUGAGGAAUAUUGGUCAAUGGCCGGAAGGCUGAACCAGCCAAGCCGCGUGAAGGACGAAGGUGCCAAGCAUUGUAAACUUCUUUUGUCAAGGGACAAAAUCAGGCUCGAGAGCCUGACCGAGGGUACUUGAAGAAAAAGCAUCGGCUAACUCCGUGCCAGCAGCCGCGGUAAUACGGAGGAUGCGAGCGUUAUCCGGAUUUAUUGGGUUUAAAGGGUGCGUAGGCGGACUGUUAAGUCAGCGGUAAAAGCCCGGGGCUCAACCCAGGCGAGCCGUUGAAACUGGCAGUCUUGAGAUGUGGAGAGGUAGGCGGAAUGCGCAGUGUAGCGGUGAAAUGCUUAGAUAUUGCGCAGAACUCCGAUUGCGAAGGCAGCAUACCGGCGGCGAUCUGACGCUGAGGCACGAAAGCGUGGGUAUCGAACAGGAUUAGAUGCCCGGGUAGUC
rnacentral:rRNA from 1 species